ACCCGCACAAGCGGUGGAUGAUGUGGAUUAAUUCGAUGCAACGCGAAAAACCUUACCUACCCUUGACAUGUCUGGAACCUUGCUGAGAGGCGAGGGUGCCUUCGGGAGCCAGAACACAGGUGCUGCAUGGCUGUCGUCAGCUCGUGUCGUGAGAUGUUGGGUUAAGUCCCGCAACGAGCGCAACCCUUGUCUCUAGUUGCCACCAUUCAGUUGGGCACUCUAGAGAGACUGCCGGUGAUAAACCGGAGGAAGGUGGGGACGACGUCAAGUCCUCAUGGCCUUUAUGCCCAGGGCUACACACGUGCUACAAUGGAUCGUACAAAGGGUCGCGAACCCGCGAGGGGGAGCCAAUCCCAAAAACCGGUCCUCAGUUCGGAUUGGAGUCUGCAACUCGACUCCAUGAAGUUGGAAUCGCUAGUAAUCGUGGAUCAGCAUGCCACGGUGAAUACGUUCCCGGGCCUU
rnacentral:rRNA from 1 species